rnacentral:lncRNA from 1 species
AUGCAAUCAUAGUUUGCGUCAUGAACGUAAUUCAACAUAUUGUUUCAGACAGUUCAGCAAAGUUUUUAAAAUUGUUUGUACUCAUUAUUUUAAGACACCACCUUGCUGAGUAGCACGAUGGCUUCCUCUACAGCUAGCACCAAAGCAGACCCAUUUUCCUUGGAAAACAUUAAUGAUAACUCUACAGCUAACACUAUAGCAGACACCACUUUUUUGAGUAGCACCAUGUCUGCCUCUACCGCUAGCACCAAAGCAGGUGAGAACUGUGUGCUUAUAAUCUGUUUAUUAUAAUGUUGCCAUCCUGGUUUCACACACAUUUGUCAAACAAAUAUGAAAUUAUAUACACACAGUUAU